CACAUCACAGAGCUGGGCUGAUUCUGGGAUGGCUGUUCUCAGUGUGAGCCCCCUCCCCUCUGGAAAGGCGUGAAGAGGGGCAAGAGAAAGAGCUGCCCUGAAGACCCAGCUGGAGUUCUGCGAUUGUAUCAAGUCCUUAUUUGGUGCAGGGGACCAAACCCAGGGCCUGGGGUAUGCUAGGCAAGUGACCUCUGACCUUCUAUAUCUCUGAGCUAUAUUCCCAGCCUUCUAAUCUGAUUCUGGGACCGGGGCUCAGCUAAAUUCUCCAAGACAGCCUUGAACUCUUAUAGCCCAGGCUGGGUCAAAAGGGAAAACUUCAACCCCGGGAACAGAAUACUCCGAAGCUGGAGCGAAAUGGCUUCCCUUUGGUGUCUCAGUCACCCUGUCUUCUACAAAGUUUGGGGUCAACAAUACCCAAUCAAGUUACCAAAUAAAUGAGUGUGAACUGCACCAUACCCAGCAAGGGUGUUUAGCACUGAAAUUUUCAGAGGGAAGAGCAAACACUGAGCACUUGAGUGGGUAGGAGCUAUGCCACAUACAAACUGGAUCAGCUGGACCAGAAUGGAACAUGCUUUCAACUCCAGCACUUGGGAAAUAGAAAGUCAAGGAAUUCAAGACCAGCCUUGGAUAUAUGGAGAAUUUCAGGCUGGAAACAUGUCUGGCCACCCUAGAAUGACAAGAGGAGAGUGGCAAGGACUGCAGCAGGGAGGAGCCAAGUUCAGUGAUGCUACUUUAUUGUGAUCCAUGCGGCACCAACUGAAAACCUUGCAGUCAUCAUGGUGGGCUCGUAAGUAAAGAACACCAGUGUUCAUAUUCAGAGUGAAGAGUGAGCGUAAGAGAGUCUUCACAAUGCCUCCAAACAUCUCUGAAGAAUUACCUCUCGGAGCUAUGCCAGGGCCAGCUGGUGCUAAAUAAAAAAACAAGCAACUGACAGCUUUAAAGUGAACCAACACAAAAGAAAGAGCAUCACAGACCAUCUGAGGCAUCUCAGGAGAGAGACUGUCAUUUGUGUUUAGGCAAUAGCAAGCAUCCUCUGGAACCCUCAAGGUUUUGAGGUGGGUGUUCCCAGUGGAAGAAGGUAAGGAGGAGACAGAUUUUCAAACUGCAAGACCCCCCAAAAGGGCAAAUCUCAGAGGUGGAAGAUGAGCCGUGGCUUACAUUCGGAGAAAAACAAUCUGUCAUCUGUAUGGAUGCUGUGCAAACUCUAUUUAUUGGAGCCAUAAGACGUGAGCCUUGGUGACCUAAUAGAGAGAAGAGGGUCUAAAGGAUUCCCUACUCUUUAGAACAUCGGAUUCUCCCAUAGGAGAGAGAAGAAGAAACAUCGGGGGUGUAAAGUUACUUCCACAGGACCAAAACUGGUCCCUUCCUCUGAGUCCCUAUCAUCCAGUCGGGAUCCAGCUCUGACCUGAGGCUUACUAAGGCCCGAGAAGUGAUGCUUAAGGACGAGAAGCACACCAAGUUUCAUUCGCAUCCAGCAACUAGCUCAAGGGCUCUGGCGAUUCCGUUCACACUUCCUUCUGCUAUUUCUGUUGCUUGACCCACUUGUCUAUUUCUCUGACUUGUUUCCUUUCAAAAACACUUUCCCUGCCGGAAAGGCAGCCAGUCUAAACUUGAAAGAUAGUAUCCACAGCUCCAA